UACGAAGGGUGCAAGCGUUACUCGGAAUUACUGGGCGUAAAGCGUGCGUAGGCGGUUUGUUAAGUCCGCUGUGAAAGCCCUGGGCUCAACCUGGGAAUUGCAGUGGAUACUGGCAAGCUAGAGUGCGGUAGAGGAUGGUGGAAUUUCCGGUGUAGCGGUGAAAUGCGUAGAUAUCAGUCGGAACACCGGUGGCGAAGGCGGCUUCUUGGGCCGUUUCUGACGCUGAGGCGCGAAAGCCAGGGGAGCGAACGGG
rnacentral:rRNA from 1 species